rnacentral:rRNA from 1 species
AUUGAACGCUGGCGGUAUGCCUUACACAUGCAAGUCGAACGGUAGAGGGGCAACCCUUGAGAGUGGCGAACGGGUGAGUAAUACAUCGGAACGUGCCCAGUCGCGGGGGAUAACGUAGCGAAAGCUACGCUAAUCCCGCAUACGACCUGAGGGUGAACGCGGGGGAUCGCAAGACCUCGCGGGAUUGGAGCGGCCGGUGGCAGAUUAGGUAGUUGGUGGGGUAAAGGCCUACCAAGCCUGCAAGCUGUAGCUGGUCUGAGAGGACGACCAGCCACACUGGGACUGAGACACGGCCCAGACUCCUACGGGAGGCAGCGGUGGGGAAUUUUGGACAAUGGGCGAAAGCCUGAUCCAGCCAUACCGCGUGCGGGAAGAAGGCCUUCGGGUUGUAAACCGCUUUUGUCAGGGAAGAAAUCUUCUGGGUUAAUACCUCGGGAGGAUGACGGUACCUGAAGAAUAAGCACCGGCUAACUACGUGCCAGCCGCCGCCGUAAAAC